AUUGGGUACGAUGGUAGCCGUGCCACACAUCCGCCUGUUUACCAUCGCACCCAUUGGGUACAAUGGUAGCCGUGCCACACAUCCGCCUGUUUACCAUCGCACCCAUUGGGUACGAUGGUAGCCGUGCCACACAUCCGCCUGUUUACCAUCGCACCCAUUGGGUACGAUGGUAGCCGCGCCACACAUCCGCCUGUUUACCAUCGCACCCAUUGGGUGCGAUGGUAGCCGUGCCACACAUCCGCCUGUUUACCAUCGCACCCAUUGGGUGCGAUGGUAGCCGCGCCACACAUCCACCUUUUUACCAUCGCACCCAUUGGGUACGAUGGUAGCCGCGCCACACAUCCGCCUUUUUACCAUUGCACCCAUUGGGUACGAUGGUAGCCGUGCCACACAUCCGCCUGUUUACCAUCGCCGCCUGUUUACCAUCGCACCCAUUGGGUACGAUGGUAGCCGUGCCACACAUCCGCCUUUUUACCAUCGCACCCAUUGGGUACAAUGGUAGCCGCGCCACACAUCCGCCUUUUUACCAUUGCACCCAUUGGGUACGAUGGUAGCCGUGCCACACAUCCGCCUGUUUACCAUCGCACCCAUUGGGUACGAUGGUAGCCGCGCCACACAUCUGCCUUUUUACCAUCUCACCCAUUGGGUACGAUGGUAGCCGUGCCACACAUCCGCCUGUUUACCAACGCCGCCUGUUUACCAUCGCACCCAUUGGGUACGAUGGUAGCCGCGCCACACAUCCGCCUUUUUACCAUCGCACCCAUUGGGUGCGAUGGUAGCCGUGCCACACAUCCGCCUGUUUACCAUCGCACCCAUUGGGUACGAUGGUAGCCGCGCCACACAUCUGCCUUUUUACCAUCUCACCCAUUGGGUACGAUGGUAGCCGUGCCACACAUCCGCCUGUUUACCAACGCCGCCUGUUUACCAUCGCACCCAUUGGGUACGAUGGUAGCCGCGCCACACAUCCGCCUUUUUACCAUCGCACCCAUUGGGUGCGAUGGUAGCCGUGCCACACAUCCGCCUGUUUACCAUCGCCGCCUGUUUACCAUCACACCCAUUGGGUACGAUGGUAGCCGUGCCACACAUCCGCCUGUUUACCAUCGCACCCAUUGGGUACGAUGGUAGCCGCGCCACACAUCCGCCUGUUUACCAUCACCGCCUUUUUACCAUCGCACCCAUUGGGUACGAUGGUAGCCGUGCCACACAUCCGCCUGUUUACCAUCACCGCCUGUUUACGCACCCAUUGGGUACGAUGGUAGCCGCGCCACACAUCCGCCUGUUUACCAUCGCCGCCUGUUUACCAUCGCACCCAUUGGGUACGAUGGUAGCCGCGCCACACAUCCGCCUUUUUACCAUCGCACCCAUUGGGUACGAUGGUAGCCAUGCCACACAUCCGCCUGUUUACCAUCGCCGCCUGUUUACCAUCGCACCCAUUGGGUACGAUGGUAGCCGUGCCACACAUCCGCCUGUUUACCAUCGCACCCAUUGGGUACGAUGGUAGCCGUGCCACACAUCCGCCUGUUUACCAUCGCACCCAUUGGGUACGAUGGUAGCCGUGCCACACAUCCGCCUUUUUACCAUCGCACCCUUUGGGUACGAUGGUAGCCGCGCCACACAUCCGCCUUUUUACCAUCGCACCCAUUGGGUACGAUGGUAGCCAUGCCACACAUCCGCCUGUU
rnacentral:lncRNA from 1 species